rnacentral:lncRNA from 1 species
UCUAAUGUCACUAUGGCAACAAGGGACAUGGAUUUGGGGCUCUGCAAAGAGGGGAGCCGAAUGUGAGACUUGAAUAAAAACUCAGCCAGAAAAGCUCCUAUGAAACCCAAGAGAGCUCCUACACAGAGAAGGAGAAGCAAGCACUUAAGGUAGGCUGAAGCCAGCAGUUAAUGCCUGCAAGUUGGUCACCAUGGAAACAACACAAGAAAAUCUCCCUCCACUACCUCAUUCUUUAAUAUCUGAAAUUUUAAAUUUACAAAAUUAAGAUACAAAGAAUCAAUCAUGAAGUUGAAGUUUAUAUGAGUGCUUUCUGCUGUUGCAUGUUGCUCAAGGCACUAUUAGAAAGAACUGUCCCUCAUCCCUCAGACAACACGGUGGGAAGAACUCUGACAACCAUCCUAUGGCUGCACAAAGGAGAUCCUGGAGCCUGGGAAGAAACAAAGUACCUGAAUUCUUGGUGACAUCCAUUGUGCUGCUACAAUAAAGCCAGCCUGCAUCUUGAUGCACCUCUGGACUUUUCAAUUACCCUAGGCAAUAAA